ACGGGAGGCAGCAGUAGGGAAUUUUCCACAAUGGACGAAAGUCUGAUGGAGCAACGCCGCGUGCAGGAUGAAUGCCUUCGGGUUGUAAACUGCUUUUAUCUGUGACGAUUAUGACGGUAGCAGAUGAAUAAGGACCUGCUAACUACGUGCCAGCAGCCGCGGUCAUACGUAGGGUCCAAGCGUUAUCCGGAAUUACUGGGCGUAAAGAGUUGCGUAGGUGGCAUAGUAAGUAGAUAGUGAAAGCGUGUGGCUCAACCAUACAUCCAUUAUCUAAACUGCUAAGCUUGAGGAUGAGAGAGGUAGAUGGAAUUUCUGAUGUAGGGGUAAUAUCCGUAGAUAUCAGAAGGAACACCGAUGGCGUAAGCAGUCUACUGGCUCAUUCCUGACACUAAGGCACGAAAGCGUGGGGAGCAAACAGGAUUAGAUACCCUGGUA
rnacentral:rRNA from 1 species